GGCUUAGAGUUUGAUCAUGGCUCAGGAUGAACGCUGGCGGCGUGCCUAACACAUGCAAGUCGAACGAAGCACUUAUCUUAGAUUCUUCGGAUGAAGAGAUAUUUGACUGAGUGGCGGACGGGUGAGUAACGCGUGGGUAACCUGCCUCAUACAGGGGGAUAACAGUUAGAAAUGACUGCUAAUACCGCAUAAGCGCACGGAAUCGCAUGAUUCAGUGUGAAAAGCCGAGACGGUAUGAGAUGGACCCGCGUCUGAUUAGGUAGUUGGUGAGGUAACGGCCCACCAAGCCGACGAUCAGUAGCCGACCUGAGAGGGUGACCGGCCACAUUGGGACUGAGACACGGCCCAAACUCCUACGGGAGGCAGCAGUGGGGAAUAUUGCACAAUGGGGGAAACCCUGAUGCAGCGACGCCGCGUGAAGGAAGAAGUAUUUCGGUAUGUAAACUUCUAUCAGCAGGGAAGAAAAUGACGGUACCUGACUAAGAAGCCCCGGCUAACUACGUGCCAGCAGCCGCGGUAAUACGUAGGGGGCAAGCGUUAUCCGGAUUUACUGGGUGUAAAGGGAGCGUAGGCGGUCUGACAAGUCAGAAGUGAAAGCCCGGGGCUCAACCUCGGGACUGCUUUUGAAACUGCCGGACUAGAUUGCAGGAGAGGUAAGUG
rnacentral:rRNA from 1 species